GACAGAGGGUGCAAACGUUGUUCGGAAUUACUGGGCGUAAAGCGAGUGUAGGCGGUCUUCUAAGUCGGAUGUGAAAGCCCCGGGCUCAACCCGGGAAGUGCACCCGAAACUGGAAGGCUAGAGUAUCGGAGAGGUUGGUGGAAUUCUCGGUGUAGAGGUGAAAUUCGUAGAUAUCGAGAGGAACACCGGCGGCGAAGGCGGCCAACUGGACGAAUACUGACGCUGAGACUCGAAAGCGUGGGGAGCAAACAGG
rnacentral:rRNA from 1 species